UACGGGGGGGGCAAGCGUUGUUCGGAAUUAUUGGGCGUAAAGAGCUCGUAGGCGGUCUGUCGCGUCUGCUGUGAAAACUCAGGGCUUAACCCUGAGCUUGCAGUGGGUACGGGCAGACUAGAGUGCGGUAGGGGAGACUGGAACUCCUGGUGUAGCGGUGAAAUGCGCAGAUAUCGGGAGGAACACCAGCGGCGAAGGCGGCACUCUGGGCUGGAACUGACGCUGAGGAGCGAAAGCGUGGGUAGCAAACAGG
rnacentral:rRNA from 1 species